rnacentral:rRNA from 1 species
UACCAGCACCCCGAGUGGUCGGGACGUUUAUUGGGCCUAAAGCAUCCGUAGCCGGUUCUCCAAGUCUUCCGUUAAAUCCAGCUGCUUAACAGAUGGGCUGCGGAAGAUACUAUGGAGCUAGGAGGCGGGAGAGGCAAGCGGUACUCGAUGGGUAGGGGUAAAAUCCGUUGAUCCAUUGAAGACCACCAGUGGCGAAGGCGGCUUGCCAGAACGCGCUCGACGGUGAGGGGUGAAAGCUGGGGGAGCAAACCGG